GAUGAACGCUGGCGGCGUGCUUAACACAUGCAAGUCGAACGAAACACCUUAUUUGAUUUUCUUCGGAACUGAAGAUUUGGUGAUUGAGUGGCGGACGGGUGAGUAACGCGUGGGUAACCUGCCCUGUACAGGGGGAUAACAGUCAGAAAUGACUGCUAAUACCGCAUAAGACCACAGCACCGCAUGGUGCAGGGGUAAAAACUCCGGUGGUACAGGAUGGACCCGCGUCUGAUUAGCUGGUUGGUGAGGUAACGGCUCACCAAGGCGACGAUCAGUAGCCGGCUUGAGAGAGUGAACAGCCACAUUGGGACUGAGACACGGCCCAAACUCCUACGGGAGGCAGCAGUGGGGAAUAUUGCACAAUGGGGGAAACCCUGAUGCAGCGACGCCGCGUGAGUGAAGAAGUAUUUCGGUAUGUAAAGCUCUAUCAGCAGGGAAGAAAAUGACGGUACCUGACUAAGAAGCCCCGGCUAACUACGUG
rnacentral:rRNA from 1 species